UACGUAGGGUGCAAGCGUUGUCCGGAAUUAUUGGGCGUAAAGAGCUCGUAGGCGGUUUGUCGCGUCUGCUGUGAAAACCCGAGGCUCAACCUCGGGCCUGCAGUGGGUACGGGCAGACUAGAGUGCGGUAGGGGAGAUUGGAAUUCCUGGUGUAGCGGUGGAAUGCGCAGAUAUCAGGAGGAACACCGAUGGCGAAGGCAGAUCUCUGGGCCGUAACUGACGCUGAGGAGCGAAAAGCAUGGGGGAGC
rnacentral:rRNA from 1 species